AAUGAACGCUGGCGGCGUGCCUAACACAUGCAAGUCGAACGAGAAAGGGGCCUUCGGGUCCUGAGUAAAGUGGCGAACGGGUGAGUAACGCGUAGGAACCUACUCUUGAGUGGGGAAUAACCUGGCGAAAGCCGGGCUAAUACCGCAUGAUGUCACUGCCCUUGGGCGUGUGACCAAAGAUGGCGAACCUCGAGUGCUAUUGCUCAAGAAGGGGCCUGCGUCCCAUUAGCUUGUUGGUGGGGUAAUGGCCUACCAAGGCGACGAUGGGUAGCCGGGCUGAGAGGCUGUCCGGCCACACUGGAACUGAGACACGGUCCAGACUCCUACGGGAGGCAGCAGUGGGGAAUAUUGCGCAAUGGGGGAAACCCUGACGCAGCGACGCCGCGUGGGCGAUGAAGGCCUUCGGGUCGUAAAGCCCUGUCGAGUGGGACGAACGGCGUGAGCUCUAACAUAGCUCGCGUUUGACGGUACCACUGGAGGAAGCCCCGGCCAACUCCGUGCCAGCAGCCGCGGUAAUACGGAGGGGGCGAGCGUUAUUCGGAAUUAUUGGGCGUAAAGCGCGUGUAGGCGGCUUCGCAAGUCCUUAUGUGAAAGCCCUCGGCUCAACCGAGGAAUAGCAUGGGAAACUGCGUGGCUUGAGUCCGGGAGAGGAGAGCGGAAUUCCCAGUGUAGCGGUGAAAUGCGUAGAUAUUGGGAGGAACACCGG
rnacentral:rRNA from 1 species